ACGCCUCUUUGUGCUUCGAUUGGUCAGCUUAUUCGUAUCGGCAGCCUAUUCGCUGGAACUACAAGAAGCGAGUGAUGUCAUUGGACAAUGUUACAUACCGUCAAAAGUUCGAUGGAAGAAGGUCUUUGGUACGCAAACUGAAUGGGCAAGGCCAGAGCCAAGAGAUGAAGGGAGAAGGCUGAGCUUAAAGCUCCGGAGUUUAACCCCAAACGUCUGCACUGACAGUACGGGCCCGGGAGAAAAGGAUUUACCGGUAUAGGAUCGAUUAUUGGGAAACCGAUUAUCCAGAAAGCUCAGAGUUACUGAAAAGCCAU